GUCAGCAGCCAUAUCACCCUGCAGCCCAAGACUGGUUGCCCACUGAAGCUAAGCAGGGUUGAGCCUGGUCAGUACCUGGAUGGGAGACCUCCUGGGAAAACUGGGUUGCUGCUGGGA
rnacentral:rRNA from 1 species